AUGACCCGCCGCUGGCAUACCAUGUCGCGGCGGCCGCCCCGGUCCUCCGCCGGAGCGUCGGGUAAUGGAUGCCCAGGAGGUUCGGCUCCUCCUCGUCUUCCUCCUCUCACUCCUCCUCCCGCUCCUCUUCCCAUUCCUCCGGCUCGCCGGCGGUGUUCAGCGUCAAGGCCGAGCCUGCAACAGAGACGCCGCUCGGCCGGCGCACCUGCAGCGCCGGCAUCGUCAUCAACGAGGGUGGUCGGCGCGCCUCCUCCUUGGCUCCUUCGCGCUACGUCAAACCGAAGACGAAGCCGGGGAUCGCUGCCGUGA
rnacentral:rRNA from 1 species